AGUCUCUGGAAAUUAAAGAAGCAAACUAAUUUUUCUAAUCAACUCUACAUGUGAUGUGAAACUUAUCAGUUCACAUAGGAAGCAACGUAAGUUGCGGCAAAAAAUCAAAUAGGUUUUUCAGGAUUGAUUAGUUCAAUAUGUCUGUUUGGCAAAGAAUUUUUUUUGUUUUGUUUUUUGGCUUAGCAUCAUGCAGACAGUCUCAUUAUAUCCUAGAUGUUACAAAUACAACUUUUGUAAAUUUUAUUCAUUUAUUUGAAAAGAUUUAUUGAACAUCUCAUACCAGAGUUCAUAAAAGUAAGAAUCCAUGGCACCUGCCCUUGUUCUCAGAUAUAACUCCAUUGAUUGGACCUAUCAACCACUGCAGUUCUUGUCAAGUUUCUCCACUUGUGCAGGACAGCUUGGUGCUUUGCUCUAUGCCUUCUGGGCCAUGUUGAUCAUACUGCUGCUCUGUAAACUGACUCCCAGUUUGCUGGCACAUAAUGGUUCUCUUUCUCUUAUACACGGACAAACUCACACUCAUCUCACACAACUUUGGAUCAAAUUUGAGAGCUCAAUUUCUGGCACUAAUUGCUGUUUUAAAAAGUUGCUCUUCCAAUUUGAGGAAGACAAGUUUGUCCCUUGUAGUUCACUGAUUAUCCUGAGCGAGGAAAGGAGACUGGCCAAAAAUUCAAGCUGAGGUGAAGUCUAGAUUUAAUCCUAUAGCAAUGAGGAGCCCUUGGAGGAUUUAAAACAGGGAAAGUACCAUGGCUGGAGCUGUGUUUUAAAGGAUCGUGCUGAUGGCAGUGUGGGGUAUGAGCAGAGAACAGUCACACAUAGCAGACAGAAAAGGUAGACAGAUAGUGAAGGAGCUUAGGUGAGAGAUGAAGGUCCAAAUCUAUAUUGAAGCAAAAGGGAAAAGGGGACACAUUCAUAAACUUAUGGAAGAUUGGGAGACAAAGAUGCCUUAAAAACUUAAUUCUGAAAGUACAGUUUUCCAGAAUACAUUCAGAUUAAAGCACAAGAGGUUAGAAAAAACAGGAUUUUGAGUUAAUAGACAACAAAGAUUUUACCAUUAAAAUACUGUAGUGGAUUAAUGUAGAUUUGGGAUUUACCUAAGUGUUACAGCAGGUGGCAGUAACCAAACACAGGAAUUUUAGUAUUUUUUUCUUUAGUCCUUUGCCUGUAGUUUAGUGUUUUUCAUAGUUCUUUAUCUAAUUUGGUUCAUUAAAGCAUCAUGUAGCAAAUAUUAUUCAACUUUCACUUUUUCUUAGGAUAAGAAUUGACUACAAAGCGAACUUUGUGACAGUCUCAUCCCAAGGAGUUCAUGGAUGAGCUUUUUGAAGGAGUCCUUAAAAUCUCAGAAAUGAUCAGCCAAUUAAUGUGCAUACAUACUUUUUCCUGGGAAGAAAAUCCAUAUCUCCCAUUAUGGCCUCAAAUGGGUCUGUAAUUUCCAAAGCAUUCUGUGUCUAAACAUGGUGAUGGAAAGCUAACCAUAUGGGAGGAGAAACUUUGAAACUGAAAAUUCCCAGAGCUUUAUUCUAUGAACAGAGUAUGAAGUGAUUGUUCUGGGUAUGUCAAAGCAAACAGCAUUUGAUCAUUCAUCCACUUAUUCAGGAAAAGCAGAGCCCUACAUGACUUUUGAAACCACCACAGAGACAACCAUUUCAUGGGAAUAGAAGUACCUUUCAAGUCAUGAAAACUCCAAAAGCUAUGAAACCAGGACUGAGAUAAUCAAGUGGACCCUGGUCCACUUCAGCUAAUCCCUAAAAGCUGCCUUCCCACGUUUGUGGGUGGGCCAGUCUGAUGUCCUUCAUCCAAGUGCCCCUUCUAGCUAUUCAAGCUGGAGUCCUUUUCUAAUUUUUCUUACUUUUUUAUGUUAAGGGCUUGCCUGACUUUUCUCAUCUCCUCAAGCUAAGGUAAGGGUAUGAUUUUACCUUACUUUUUUUUUUUUUUUUUUUUUAAUACAGGAUCUCACUAUAUAGCUCAGGCUGGCCUUGAACUCACAACAAUCCUCCUUCAGCCUCUGGAAAGCUGGAAUUUCAUCUGUGCACCACCAUGCCCAGGCUUACUUUCUAAUUAAAGCUUUUUCCUGCAAAUCUGUGCUUUAGUUUUAAUUUCCAUUUCUACUAAAACAAGGACCCAUGCAGGCCAGUGACAGUUAUGAAGUUUUUUCAAUGCAAGUGAAUUUAGGGUUGGGUUCUGGGUAUUUCUCAGAGGGAGAGUUUCCAGGUCUAAAGCACAGUAAGAGUGAACAGAUUAUGCUGGAUCGUCCACUGACAACUGUACAUAAUAAGGCAGAGUGUUUCGUUAAGGGGAACAAAUAGUAGCAAUGAUAUGGAUUCCAGGAUCUGCCGGCAGCAUGAACAUAGGGUCAGGGUAAACAUCUAGCAUUUGGUGAGAUACUUAUUAGAAAGUCACCACAGGCUCCUGGUUAAGGCAAUUCUGCAGUUGUUUCUGGAAAGUUAUUCUAGUAAAUGUUUACUGGAAUAGUUGGAGUGAAAAAACUUCACAAAAGGAAUAGUAUAUUUCUGUAGCCUCAGAUAAUGGAAGCCUGAACUGAGUG